rnacentral:rRNA from 1 species
AUGGUGGCUUGUUCAGGCCCAGCCUGCACGUUCCAGCCCACCACCGUGCGGGCCAGGCCAUCGCACUCACAAUGCGCUGAAGUGAGCUGGCCUGGACGCCUACCACAUCAUCACUGCUUAGCGUUCUUGGAGAGAAAAAAGAGAGAAUGUGACGCCAUUGAUGCGUCUGCAGAAGCUUCGUGUCCCGCCAUUGACCGCGGGAGGGCAGCCAAUGGGGAAGCACUAGGAGCCAUAGGAGGGGUCAAUCCGUGCGUGAGCCAUUACGUACGUAGCCGAGCCACCGCCCGCCCUCCGCCUCUCGCCGUCCGCCGACGCCACACGCAAGCAAUUUUUAAUCCCCCGCCGAGCGCCCCAACCACCGCCGUCCGGCUCCCUUUCUCCACUCCGGGCACGAGGGGAGAAUAA